rnacentral:rRNA from 1 species
UACGUAGGGGGCAAGCGUUGUCCGGAAUCAUUGGGCGUAAAGAGCUCGUAGGCGGUUCGUCACGUCAGCUGUGAAAUCCCGAGGCUCAACCUCGGGUCUGCAGUCGAUACGGGCGGACUUGAGUACUGCAGGGGAGACUGGAAUUCCUGGUGUAGCGGUGAAAUGCGCAGAUAUCAGGAGGAACACCGGUGGCGAAGGCGGGUCUCUGGGCAGUAACUGACGCUGAGGAGCGAAAGCGUGGGGAGCGAACAGG